CCAAGACCUCGCCUGCCCCAGGAGGGCUCAUCGGACGGGCAUAGCAGGGACGAGACACCUCCGCCAGCCACCACGACCAUCUGCAGCUGGGGAUGACCUUGGGAGAGGCAGCCUCGGCCUCGAGCGAUCCUUUUUGCACUUGAUGCAGCAGCUAAAUCAGAUGAUUCUGAAAAAGAACCGAUUAGUAUUUCUGAUCGGUGCUGACUCAUGGAGCUGAUGCAAUUCCUUAUUUCAACCAGGAGCAGGUGAGUGGGUUGCUUGCUGCAUCACCUGAGCUUACCUGCAUCAAAGAACAAGAAGUGCUUUAUACCUUAUUGCAGCAACUGCGCCGAAGUACAGUGCAUAACCAGGGGAACAAAAAGUGCCGUAACUCCAGCUCUGCCCAAGGCUAAUACUCAGAAGUGGCGUCCUCUGCCCAGUGUGCAGCCUGGAGAUGAAGUUAUGCCUUUCCUCCAGCAGCAGGUCAGCUGACACCGCUACGGACCAUCCACGGGGGGAUCUGGCCUCGAGAGCUGUAGCUGGAGGCAGAUGAAGUUAGAGGCAUGAUAUUACUGGUUUGAAGGUUUAUGUAUUUUAGUGUAACCUGUGAUCUCUUCUCUCCUGUUACUUUUAUUUAUGGCUUAGUAUUUGAUAAAGUGUAGAUUUUUUUUAUUGUACAAUUUACAAUUUUUUGUAUGUUUGUGUACAUUUUAUGUACUUUUUUUGUAAAUUUAUGUAGAAGUAUUUGCAUUUUUGUACAAUUCUUUACAAUUUUUUUCAAUAUUGUGCACUUUCAAAAUCAUGUUACAGCCACCAUAAAUCCUGUUACAUCCAUCCACAAGACUAUACGUUAGAUUUGCUGUUGGCGUCUGCAAUCAUUUGCCCAUUAGCUUUGCUCACCCAUUCCGGUUUUCCCUAUCUGUCUGAGCUGAACGCCUUCAGCUGAUGUCCAUCGAGAGAGAAAAAUAAA